rnacentral:rRNA from 1 species
UACGUAGGGUGCAAGCGUUAAUCGGAAUUACUGGGCGUAAAGCGUGCGCAGGCGGUUUUGUAAGUCUGUCGUGAAAUCCCCGGGCUUAACCUGGGAAUUGCGAUGGAGACUGCAAGGCUGGAGUCUGGCAGAGGGGGGUAGAAUUCCACGUGUGAGCAGUGAAAUGCGUAGAUAUGCGGAGGAACACCGAUGGCGAAGGCAAUCCCCUGGACCUGUACUGACGCUCAUGCACGAAAGCGUGGGGAGCAAACAGG